GAUGAACGCUGGCGGCGUGCUUAAUACAUGCAAGUCGAACGGAGACGUUAUAGCAAUAUGAUGUCUUAGUGGCGAACGGGUGAGUAACGCGUUGGUGACCUGCCCUUCAGACAGGGAUAACAGAGCGAAAGUUCUGCUAAUACCAGACGAACUCACUGAGGUUAGAGGCUAGGAGAGGAAAGGGGCAAUCCGCUGAAGGAGGGGCCUGCGUCCCAGCAGCUAGCUGGUGAGGUAAAAGCUUACCAAGGCGACGACGGGUAGGGGACCUGAGAGGGUGAUCCCCCACACUGGCACUGAAACACGGGCCAGACACCUACGGUUGGCAGCAGUAGGGAAUAUUGCACAAUGGGCGAAAGCCUGAUGCAGCAACGCCGCGUGCGCGAUGAAGGCCUUCGGGUCGUAAAGCGCUUUUUGGGGAGACGAGGAAGGACGGUAUCCCCAGAAUAAGGAUCGGCUAACUACGUGCCAGCCGCCGCUGUAACAC
rnacentral:rRNA from 1 species